rnacentral:rRNA from 1 species
UACGUAGGGGGCUAGCGUUGUCCGGAAUCAUUGGGCGUAAAGAGCGUGUAGGCGGUCCGGUAAGUCAGCUGUGAAAGUCAAGGGCUCAACCCUUGAAAGCCGGUUGAUACUGUCGGGCUAGAGUCCGGAAGAGGCGAGUGGAAUUCCCGGUGUAGCGGUGAAAUGCGCAGAUAUCGGGAGGAACACCAAUGGCGAAGGCAGCUCGCUGGGACGGUACUGACGCUGAGACGCGAAAGCGUGGGGAGCAAACAGG